rnacentral:rRNA from 1 species
AUUGAACGCUGGCGGCAGGCUUAACACAUGCAAGUCGAGCGGGGAAAGGUAGCUUGCUACUUGACCUAGCGGCGGACGGGUGAGUAAUGCUUAGGAAUCUGCCUAUUAGUGGGGGACAACAUCUCGAAAGGGAUGCUAAUACCGCAUACGUCCUACGGGAGAAAGCAGGGGACCUUCGGGCCUUGCGCUAAUAGAUGAGCCUAAGUCGGAUUAGCUAGUUGGUGGGGUAAAGGCCUACCAAGGCGACGAUCUGUAGCGGGUCUGAGAGGAUGAUCCGCCACACUGGGACUGAGACACGGCCCAGACUCCUACGGGAGGCAGCAGUGGGGAAUAUUGGACAAUGGGGGGAACCCUGAUCCAGCCAUGCCGCGUGUGUGAAGAAGGCCUUUUGGUUGUAAAGCACUUUAAGCGAGGAGGAGGCUCCCGAGAUUAAUACCUUUGGAUAGUGGACCGUUACUCGCAGAAUAAGCACCGGCUAACUCUGUGCCAGCAGCCGCGGUAAUACCAGAGGGUGCAAGCGUUAAUCGGAUUUACUGGGCGUAAAGCGCGCGUAGGUGGCCAAUUAAGUCAAAUGUGAAAUCCCCGAGCUUAACUUGGGAAUUGCAUUCGAUACUGGUUGGCUAGAGUAUGGGAGAGGAUGGUAGAAUUCCAGGUGUAGCGGUGAAAUGCGUAGAGAUCUGGAGGAAUACCGAUGGCGAAGGCAGCCAUCUGGCCUAAUACUGACACUGAGGUGCGAAAGCAUGGGGAGCAAACAGGAUUAGAUACCCUGGUAGUCCAUGCCGUAAACGAUGUCUACUAGCCGUUGGGGCCUUUGAGGCUUUAGUGGCGCAGCUAACGCGAUAAGUAGACCGCCUGGGGAGUACGGUCGCAAGACUAAAACUCAAAUGAAUUGACGGGGGCCCGCACAAGCGGUGGAGCAUGUGGUUUAAUUCGAUGCAACGCGAAGAACCUUACCUGGUCUUGACAUAGUAAGAACUUUCCAGAGAUGGAUUGGUGCCUUCGGGAACUUACAUACAGGUGCUGCAUGGCUGUCGUCAGCUCGUGUCGUGAGAUGUGGGUUAAGUCCCGCAACGAGCGCAACCCUUUUCCUUAUUUGCCAGCGGGUUAAGCCGGGAACUUUAAGGAUACUGCCAGUGACAAACUGGAGGAAGGCGGGGACGACGUCAAGUCAUCAUGGCCCUUACGACCAGGGCUACACACGUGCUACAAUGGUCGGUACAAAGGGUUGCUACCCCGCGAGAGGAUGCUAAUCUCAAAAAGCCGAUCGUAGUCCGGAUUGGAGUCUGCAACUCGACUCCAUGAAGUCGGAA